rnacentral:rRNA from 1 species
CCCUUAGAUGUCCUGGGCCGCACGCGCGCUACACUGAUGCAUUCAACGAGUUUUUCCUUGGCCGAGAGGCCUGGGCAAUCUUUUGAACGUGCAUCGUGAUAGGGAUAGAUUAUUGCAAUUAUUAAUCUUGAACGAGGAAUUCCUAGUAAACGCAGAUCAUCAAUCUGCAUUGAUUACGUCCCUGCCCUUUGUACACACCGCCCGUCGCACCUACCGAUUGAAUGGUCCGGUGAAGCCUCGGGAUUGUGGCGAGUUCCCUUUAUUGGGAGUUUGUCGCGAGAACUUGUCUAAACCUUAUCAUUUAGAGGAAGGUGAAGUCGUANCA